rnacentral:rRNA from 1 species
UACAGAGGGUGCAAGCGUUAAUCGGAAUUACUGGGCGUAAAGCGUGCGUAGACGGUUAUGUAAGUCGGGUGUGAAAGCCCCGGGCUCAACCUGGGAAUGCCAUUCGAGACUGCAUAGCUAGGGUGCGGAAGAGGGAAGCGGAAUUUCCGGUGUAGCGGUGAAAUGCGUAGAUAUCAGGAGGAACACCCGUAGCGAAGGCGGCACUCUGGGCCGGAACUGACGCUGAGGAGCGAAAGCGUGGGGAGCGAACAGG